GGGCGCGGUGGCGCGUGCCUGUAGUCCCAGCUACUCGGGAGGCUGAGGCAGGAGGAUGGCUUGAGCCCAGGAGUUCUGGGCUGUAGUGCGCUAUGCCGAUCGGGUGUCCGCACUAAGUUCGGCAUCAAUACGGUGACCUCUCGGGAGUGGGGGACCACCAGGUUGCCUAAGGAGGGGUGAACCAGCCCAGGUCGGAAAUGGAGCAGGUCAAAAAAAACUCUCGUGCUAAUCAGUAAAAUGCUACUUAAAAACUAACAUUUAAACAAAAUUGAUGAUUAUAUAAAUAACGUAUUUACU
rnacentral:SRP_RNA from 1 species